CCCUUAGAUGUUCUGGGCUGCACACGUGCUACACUGGCAGGUUCAGCGAGCUUCAUGCCCUGAUCUGAAAGGAAUGGGAAAUCUUUUCAAAACCUGCCGUGCUUGGGAUAGAUGUUUGCAAUUAUUCAUCUUCAACGAGGAUUCCCUUGUAAGCGCACGUCAUCAGCGUGCAUUGAAUACGACCCUGUAUUCUGUACACACCGCCCGUCGCUCCUACCGAUUGAAGUUUUCGGUGAGUUGACAGGAGGAUUUUUUUGAAACUGGUUCGCCAGUGGAUUUUAGAUCCAAAUGCCAACGAAUCGAUGGCUUUAGAGGAAGGAGAAGUCGUAACA
rnacentral:rRNA from 1 species